rnacentral:rRNA from 1 species
UACCAGACUCCUACGGGAGGCAGCAGUGAGGAAUAUUGGUCAAUGGUCGGGAGGCUGAACCAGCCAAGUCGCGUGAGGGAAGACGGCCCUACGGGUUGUAAACCUCUUUUGUCGGGGAGCAAAGCGAACCACGUGUGGUUCAUUGAGAGUACCCGAAGAAAAAGCAUCGGCUAACUCCGUGCCAGCAGCCGCGGUAAUACGGAGGAUGCGAGCGUUAUCCGGAUUUAUUGGGUUUAAAGGGUGCGCAGGCGGAGGUGCAAGUCAGCGGUAAAAAUGCGGUGCUCAACGCCGUCGAGCCGUUGAAACUGGCGUUCUUGAGUGGGCGAGAAGUAUGCGGAAUGCGCGGUGUAGCGGUGAAAUGCAUAGAUAUCGCGCAGAACUCCGAUUGCGAAGGCAGCAUGCCGGCUCCACACUGACGCUGAGGCACGAAAGCGUGGGUAUCGAACAGGAUUAGAUACCCCCGUA